UAAGCAACGUUGGGCCUGGUUAGUACUUGGAUCGGAGACGGCCUGGGAAUCCCAGGUGUUGUAGACA
rnacentral:rRNA from 1 species